ensembl:lncRNA
GUCAGGAGAGACACCUGUCUGUUUAUGUGCAAACUAGUAACAGUGAUAUGCCUUUGUUGUUUUUCAGUGGUUAAGUCCAAAGUGAGGACUUUAUUAGAUCAAUGAAUUUAGAUAACUGACGCAAUAAACCUUUACCGUUAUGCAAAUAUUAUUUUAAUAUGCCAUUAAGUUCAUGAAGAUACACAAUCAUACAUCUACAAGAAUGCGAGAACAUCUCAUCAAUAAGGCUUUGAUUAUUAUGCUUAGACCACUGUCUGAAUAAAAAAAGCUAACAGCACUUCAGAAAGCACUGCUGCUAGUAUGCAGUCGUAAGACUUCUAUAGCCCAGGCAUUCACGAGUGACGUCAAAUUGCCGUAGGCUUGCUAGUAAUACAGUCAAUGCCUGAUAGGUUUUAAGAGUUGUGUACGCAGGGCGCUUUAAUUGUCUAUUCUGCUAUGCCAACUAGCUGAGUAUAGUAGCCUAACUAAUAAAUAUAAUAAUAAAUACAAGCUCAAAUAAACAAACAAACAAUGAAUAAACGCCUGUAUUCAUAUCACAUUAUUAAAAGCCUUCCAGCAUCUCCAACGCAAAGCCGUGAAGACACAUUGAAUUAUAUUAUUAUAGGCUACAGUCUUAAUACAAAGGCCUCAAAUGUAGUUACUUAGAUAAGUAGCCAAUUACAUGAAGCACAUUUCAUUAAAAUAAACAAAUACAUAAAUAAAUAAAAAGUUUUAUUCACUAGAUUAUUUGUUCUACCUCUGAAAUCUCAAAAUAAAAGCAAACGCCACUAGCAAUCGAGUAGAAAUGAAUCACUUUGCACUUAAAAAUAGCCUGUAAUCGGUGGUUGCGCUGAAGGAACUUCCACGCUGAAAGCCGUUUUCGAGCAACUAGAUGUGCAAGCAAAAUAGUCCUGGUAUUUAUCAUUGUAAAAUGCACUGCACGAGAAAGAGUCCUCACACACAGGGCUCAGCAUGCGUCCACACACACAAUAGCGCUCCCCCAUCAGGACCUCCAUCGAUUAGGACGAGACACUACACUAAAUAUUUACUGAUCACACACAAAUAGCAGGAUCUUUAACGAUUUUCCAUGGCUGGGACGCGAAGAAAGGGGUAAAUCACUUAAUUAUUGUUUGUAAAGUAAAGUACGCACUCUGGGACACGAGUGUGUAAGAUGGGACUCAUGUAAGAGAAGUUAUAAGCGAAUAAAUCGAUAGACAUUGAAUAAGCAAAGCUAAAUAUCCGAACCGCAGCAGAUCUCUCAGUCAUCAGCCGACUACAUAUUAAACUAGAAUUUGAACCUUAAAAACACAGCUGAACUCUGCUUGAUUAACUAGCCUAACAUAUAAAAUGUUAUAUCGAAAAUAUCCCUUUUUCCCCUCAAUGGAUCAACACCCACAGUACACCCACAGUACUACUACUACUUUAUUUUAUUCAUAUUAAGCCACGGACAUUAUAUAGUAGUUUUCAAAAGCUUUGCGAGCGCAGGUGUCUAUUGCGCUUUGAUGGGUUGGAAGAGGAAAGUUCACCCUAAUCUUAUCGCUGCCUCCACCGAAUCCUUCAAGCAAGAGAUAGAGGCAAUCUGACCCUCGGGUCACUGAGAUCCCGGCCUGAUUAACCCUUACGGACUCAGAACGGCUCAAAGGUUAACCAGGCUAAUCAACAUCAGGAGACUGAUUAAGGCGAAUCAGAAGUCAGAAAUACAUAAAUAUAACUUAUUAUUUAAAAAAUCUAAUUAUUACCGAAAAAUUUAACAAAAUGUACAAUCGCAUCUCACAAAUUCCAGGUUAUUAAGUUGGAUGCAUCAUGCUAAUGAAGGACUUACAUAUUUAGGCUUCAAUAUUAUCAUAUUGCACGAAAACGUAACGUAAUUAUUAUUAUUAUUAUUAUUAUUAUUAUUAUUAUUAUUAUUAUUAUUAUUAUUAUUAUUAUUAUUAUUAUUAUUAUUAUUAUUAUUAUUGCUGAUGAAUGCUUUUUAUUUGCAUGCUUAUGUUGGGUUGAUCAGACCUGUGGUUUUCAUUCCUGGUCCUGCAUGGGAAGCCACAGAACUGCACAUUUUGUCUCAUAUUUGAAGGAUUGAAAACCACUGGAUCAGACGGUGUGGUUUAAAACGUGUCCAAACGAGCAAGUAAUAGACCUGUCAGCUGGUGUGGUUGCAGUCUAUAUAGCACAUCUGUUGUGAAGCAUUUUCUGAUAUUUUGCAGUAAUUGGCAAUUACAAUUCUCUUGGCCAAUACAGCAAUAAAUUUGCGUUUGCAGAUUAGCCUUUUUUAUUUAUUUUACUAGAUGUAAAGGAAGCAUUAUCAAUUUAUUUUCAGACUGAUUACACUUGUAAACAUGCAAUGUGUGCACAUAUCUGUAUUUCUUGCUUUGAAAUUUGUAAUAUUUUCAAUAACCUAUUAGUGUCUUAAAUUUGAGGACUAACAACAAAAAUAUUUGUAAUGCUAUUGAACAUUUUAUUUUAAUUAUAUAAACUAAGUAUAAGCAACAUAAAUUUAAAGAUUUUUUAAAUACGCCAGCCUCAAAAAGUCAGUUACAGAAAAAGACUUAACCUAUCAACUUGCUGACAGUCUAAAAUGUACAUGACAGGUAACAUGAAAUGAUUUCAUAAACUAAAUAUAUUUCUAAUAUGUGAAUGUGCUACAGUUUAUGCCUGCUGGCACUAUAUUUAAUUGCUCAGUUCCACCUGUACAUGGAAUUUUACUACUAAAAAGGGAGAAAGACACUGGGAAAAUCUGAUUAUGAUUAUUCUCAAUACAUUAAUCCAAAAUAAUAUAGAAAACUUCUGAAGUAUUUUCUCACGCAAUCCUGCCUUUUUAUUGUUUGUCAUUUAAAUGGCUCUAAGAAAACUCCCCUUGACAUAUUCAUCCAACUCAUUGAAGAAAAUCUCAUAUCGGUUACGGGCAAAUUGAAUAGGAUUAUAGUUUUAUUCUCUUCAGAAGCCUGGCUCUGUGCCCAAAUAUGGUGUAAUUUGUUCAGCAUUACCUUCAGUCUUAAAACAACACCAUUGCCCUGGGAAUUCCGAUGACUUACUGCUUCUUCACAGGACUAGAAGCACUUCGCUAUGUAUUUCACUCUUUAAGAAAAGAACAUGGACUAACGGUUGCCACAGUCCAUUAAAAAAAUCUUAUGAUAUUAUACCCUACACCCAUACAGCCUAGACUUCAAAAUGUAAUUGUUUGGGAAGUCUUUCAAUGUCCUUUUCUUAUUUCUUAUAGCAUAGCAAUAAUACCAGACUGCAGCGAGACUGAAGGGAUGCUCCUGACCUGUUACACAAAGUGUUGUAGUGGAAUUAACUGUACUACAGUAUCAAAGAUAGUUUCCACAGGUAUAGCAGCAGCAGUAUAAAGUAUACACGUAAAGUGUCAUACUGAACUUAAACAGACCUCUGCAGGACUGUGAUGCGGGCAGAGGACACGGCCACUGUGGGAACUGAAGACUACUGAGUGGUGACGUUGACAUCAACACCAAAUGCCUGAUGGGAGGAAAAGCAUCACGCAAAGAUCCCACAAUGACAAAGCAGGGAAGGUAGGCCUUAAUGUAUGCUUUUGACCUACUGGAGCAACUAACCUGUAAUGGAUUCUUUUAUAGGCAAAAGGAUCAUUGGCUCAACUGACAACAAACUGCUUGAAAUCAACGACAUACAUAUUGUAAUUCUGCAAAUAAUGUUAUGAUGUAUGAUUAAAUAAUGCAACUGAACAAGAUGUAGCACUGUAUCUCUCUAGAGAAUGAUGCAAUGAAAAAAAAAAACUUUUCUUGAUGACAAUAGAAGACAUGUUUAAUUAUCAACUGUACAAUAAUUUCUGCCAAAAGCACAAGUAAAUAAACAUGGCUCCUG